rnacentral:tRNA from 1 species
GCCUUCGUGGUAUAGUGGUUAGCACGCUCGCGCGUAUUUGAGAGGUCCAAGGUUCGAAUCCCGGCGAGGGCA